GGAACCGCUUGAUGUAUGCGCGAGGUCUGGGCCGCCUGGAUUGACAUGGCUGAGAGGGUCGUGAUUGUACUUCUUCCCACCUUC
rnacentral:pre_miRNA from 1 species